rnacentral:lncRNA from 1 species
AGUAAAAGAGGAAUCGAUCUUAGGACUCAAUGAUAAAAUCACUAAUAUUUAACCAUCUAAUCAAAGAAGUUGAUGUAUUAACAAAUGUAAGUAAAGGAGGAAUCAAACUCAGGACUUAAGGGCAAAACCAUUUGUACGGGCCCAAUUCUACCCUGACCUUAAACACAAAACACACAAUAAUAAACAAAAUUAAAACAAAAUCCGUAGCCCAAAUAAAAACACAACAGAGGCCCAAGAUGGCAAAACCCUAGCCCAAUUCAGCUCACAACCAGCAGCCUCAGUGCGCCGUACGUCUCCUCGUGCAUUUGCAGCGCACUCAACGCCCGAAGCACGACCAGUUUUGCACCAAAAAGGCUAGGUUUAUUCUUCCAAUACCCGUUGACUUCACCAGUACCUGCAAGCAAAGCAAAGAAAGGGGAACAACAGCAGCAACAGUAGCAAUAUUGGACAGAAAUGAUGAAAAUAAAAUAGGAAAUAGAUUUUUAGGAUUAUCUUUUGGCUAUAAAAGCCACCAAAAUCUAUAUUCAAAAAAAAAAAAGGGAGCAGAUCAAAAAAAAUUGAAAAGGUUGACUCCAAAUUUCUUUCUCUGUUCUUAAUAAUUUUUUUAUAUAUUCUUCUAUUUUCUGUUUUUUUACUACUCUUUGAAACUAAAAAAACAAAACGAAAAAGAAAGAAAAGGGACACUUACCGGUCUCGAAAGCCCGUCGCCGGAGACCAUCUUCGGUGUUGGAAUCGGACCGAGAAGGAGACGAAAGGUCUCUCCUUGUUUCGGCUUGUUUGGUCUGGAAGACCGGGCCUUAAGGUGGAGGUCGAGAACGGGGUUAAAAAGCCCUCCUUUUCUCGCUCCGACCACCGCUCGUGAAGGAGCUUUGGCCUUUGGAACCGCCGCUCGCCGGCGUGGGCCAUGUUUGGCUGCUGGGAACCUUGAAAGGGAGAGGAUAGGUUCAAUUUUUUUUUUCUUUAAAACACUGAUAAAAUGAAGUUAUAAAUUUU